AGUGAACGCUGGCGGUAUGCCUAAUACAUGCAAGUCGAACGGAAGCACAGUAAGAGCUUGCUCUUACGGGUGGCGAGUGGCGGAUGGGUGACGAAUACAUCAGAAUCUUCUUUUUCGUGGGGGAUUACGUAGGGCAACAUCCACUAAUACCUCAUAUAAUCUACCGGUGAAAUCAGUGGAUCUUCGGACCUUUCCCGUUUGUAUGAGCCGAUGUCGGAUUAGCUAGUUGGCGGGGUAAAGGCCCACCAAGGCGACGAUCCGUAGCUGAUCUGAGAGGAUGAUCGGCCACACUGGAACUGAGACACGGUCCAGACUCCUACGGGAGGCAGCAGUAGGGAAUAUUGGACAAUGGGCGAAAGCCUGAUGGAGCAAUGCCGCGUGAGUGAAGAAGGCCUUCGGAUUGUAAAACCCUGUUGUUAGGGAAGAAAAGAAGCGGGAGUAAACACGGAUGUUUUGACGGUACCUAAUGAGUAAGCAACGGCUAACUUCGUG
rnacentral:rRNA from 1 species